UGAAAGACCACAUAUGAUUACAUGCGUGUAAGAAUGUGGUGUUUUUACUGCAAACAUUGGCUAAAACAAGUUGACCGCGAACCAUAGUUUUCGGAAAUUCAGUUAGAACAUCAGUUCAAUCAGUUAGAACAUCAUCAACAAGUUCAAUUUAUAUUUCGUUGACAAUUUUUUAUGUAUUAAUGAAAGUAUUGAUUUGGUAAGUGAACCUGACGAUGCGCGCACAUUAAUGCUGUUAUGAGUAAUCUGAAUUGUGAUAGUUAUUGGAAUAUAGGGCCCUAUUAUAGAAAUCGAGGCGAUAAGAAUUUUGCUCGUUAACUCUAUUUUACUAUUAUAGAAAUCGAGCAAUUCGAUAGCACCGAGCGAGUGAUAACUGUCGAUGCAAGUGUCAGAACUUUUCGAGUUGUUUGGUUCACUUGUUGCAUAUCUUCAGAGAAUUAUUUUGUUUUGGCUUGCAUCCCUUUGGGAAACAUUUCAGAAACACUUCAAUAUAUGCAAUUUGCAACACAUGUUUGUUUGUUUUGAUCAGCAUUUGUUUUACGGUGCUGCCAGAAUAGUCUAUACAAGGUAAGUGUUCAAAACAGCAUUAUUAAUAUAAAUCAUGUUAUAACUUACAAUGCAGGAUUUACUUCCAGCGCAUAUUUCAGUGGCUGAAAAUGAGUGGUGGAAGAAAAAAAACCAAAUCACCACCAGUUUGAACGGCUCCUUGAAACAAUGGAAGCGAACAGAGACAUUGCUCGAGAUCUUUGUGGAGGCAAUUCUAAUAUAAUCCCGGUGUAGGAAAAGUUGGAGGAAUCCAGAGAGGAACUUAAUGCACUGAGACCACCAAUGCAUCUAGGUUCAGAAUGGCAGAAAAUUUGGAUUGACAUGAGUGGAAAGGUAAAAAAAACACUAGCACACAACAAGCGAGAAUUUAGAGCAACAGGUGGUGGACCCAAUACAAUAAAGCUAUCGAUGCCGCUACAACAAGAAAUCGACGAUAAAAGAGAAUUACAUGUUGCAUUACAUGAAUAACAAAAAUUGUUUUGCUAAGAGAAAAGUGAAAUUCGUGCAUGACUCUUCACGGAAUUCCAUAGAUUUUCUAAUAAUUAUAUUUUUUGUACAGCAAAUUGUUCCACGCUGUCCGUUUUUAUUACACAUGCAUGCGUGCCUUACGCCUAUUAAGCUUUAUUCUUUGAGGGAAUAUCAAUUUACUCCAAAACAUAACCAUAUUAACUCUUUUGGAAAUACAUUUUCAUAGCAGAUGCCUCAAAAAAAGAUUUGGCAUCCUUUUUAUAGUGCUUCAUGAAACAUUUCAAAAUAUUUCAUCACAUCCGCUGACAUUCGAGCUUGCUAACGAAUCGAGCAGUUUUCCUCGAUUUCUAUAAUUCCAGAUUUUACUCGGUGUGAUAGUGAUAGUGAUUGUAUCGAAUCCUCGAUUCGAUUUCUAUAAUAGGGCCCAUAGUAGAGUUUGUUCGUAUUGUAGAAUUGAAUAUGCGAGUCUCGAUAAAAAGGAGCACAGCUCUGUUGAGGUUUGAUUGUAGAUUGAGAGUGAAUGAUGUCAAUCAAAGAAGGUCGGUGAGCAAUUUGUAAAGGAUCAAGCAGACAACCUGAAAUUCAUCCAACGGAUAAAAUGUUUGAUUAAUCUGUAAAGAUUAGAACAGUCUGACGAGUUUGGCAGUCAGCUUACAGUGAACUCAGAAGAUGCUAUGAGGAAAUGCAGGCUUUUCUUCUUGUGGCUUGGCUGAACUGAAAGAUUUACUGUUUAUUUCACACAAGCAUGUUCAAUAAAACUUUUGAAUUGAUAAAACUUAGUGAAUUAUUAUUAUUAUUAAUUCAUUUUCGUCAAACAGAUGUAAACUACAGACUUAUAUAUUAAUGCUACAAUGUUUUCUUAAGUUAAAUAUUAUUCCUACAGUACAUGUUUCUUUUCAGCUGUUUUUAACGUAGGACUACGUCUUACAUUGAGGGUGCCAAAUCAGAAAACAGGUCACGUCUUUAUGAAAUAAAGUUAACGGGCCCUAUUAUAUAAAUCGAAUCGAGGAUUCGAUACAAUCACUAUCACUAUCACACCGAGUAAAAUCUGGAAUUAUAGAAAUCGAGGAAAACUGCUCGAUUCGUUAGCAAGCUCGAAUGUCAGCGGUUGUGAUGAAAUAUUUUGAAACAAGCUUGAAAUGUUUCACGAACACUAUAGAAAGGAUGCCAAAUCUUUUUUUGAGGUAUCUGCUAUGAAAAUGUAUUUCCAAAAGUGUUAAUAUGGUUAUGUUUUGGAGAAAACUGAUAUUCCCUCAUCGAAUGAAGCUUAAUAGGCAUAAUGCAUGCAUGGAUGUGUAAUAAAAACGAUAUCGUGGAACAAUUUGCUUCACAAAAAUAUAAUUAUUAGAAAAUGAAUCUUUUCAUUUAUUUUCACAACAGCAAUCUAUGUCAUUCCGUAAGAUUUCUUGUUGUAGCGGCGUCAAUAGCAUUAUUGUAUUGGGUCACCACCUUUGGUCCUGAAUUCUCGCUUGUUGUGUGCUAGUGUUUAUUUACUUUUCACCUCAUGUCAAUCCAAAUCUGUAAUUUAAAAAAGAUCAUUAUUGUUUUGCAAGACAUUUCAGCUUUAGCAUAUGGUAUAGAAAGUUCGGUAUAGUAUAGCAAUAAAAAAGAAAAUUGCUGACAAAAGUAACACGUACUAACAUACGCUAGCAGGAAUAAGACAUUUUUAGGUAGGAAAUUCGUUUGAUAGUAAUUCAAAUAAUAUGAUAAAAUUUACUUAUGAAGUUGUAUGUAUCGUAGAAGAAACACUUACUUUCUGGCAUUCUGAACCAAGACGCAUUGAUGGUCUCAGCGCAUUAAGCUCCUCACUAAAUUCCUCCAACGUUACCUUAACCUGGAUUUUAUUUGAACUUCCUCCACAAAUACCUCGAGCAAUGUUUACAUUCGCUUCCAUUGGUUCAACGAGUCGUUCAAACAGGUGGUGAUUUGUCUGUCCACUCGUUUUCAGCCACUGAAAUAUGUGCUGGAAGUAAGUUCUGCAUUGUAAAUUAUAACUUAAUUAAUAUGAAUAAUGUUGGAUUGAACAAUUACCUUGUAUAGACUAUUCUGGCAACACCGUAAAACAAAUACUGAUCAAAACAAACGAACAUGUGUUGAAAAUUGCAUAUAUUCAAGCGUUUCUGAAAUGUUUCCUAAAGGAAAAUAUCAGGGACGCAAACCAAAACAAAAUAAUUCUCUGAAGAUAUGCAACAAGUGAACCAAAAAACUCGAAAAGUUCUGACACUUGCAUCGAAAUGCUAUCACUCGCUCGGUGCUAUCGAAUUGCUCGAAUUCUAUAAUAGUAAAAUAGGUCUAACGAGCAAAUUCUUAUCGCCUCGAUUUCUAUAAUAGGGCCCAACGUUAAUAACUAUUUUUGCUGCGAACGGAUUUUAACGAUUUGCAUACCAAUCGAAUCGGAAAUUUUCUAAGAUUUGUUUGGUAUGCUAUACAUUAUAAUCCCAUAGUCUGUAUAUGAUAUAAAUUGGUGAAAAUUGGAAGCCUUCUCAUUUCCCCAUAUAUUUGUUCUGUCCAUUUGUGUGCUUUCCCGAAAAGAGCUGUCAAUAACGGGCAACUUAACGACGAGCAACGAAGGGGAAAUCAUAAGAUGUAAAGUCGCCGUGAACAAAAGAAGAGAAGAAGAACGAAGGACAAUAUUUGCCUAGAGUAUGAACAGUGGAUAGUGCUCCCGUGGCCGAGUGGUUAGCGUCAUAACUAACAUGCCGGGUGUUCGGGUUCGAUUCCCGUUCUGGUCGGGGGAAUUUUUCGUCAAAGAAAUUUCCUCCGACUUGCACUGUGAUCACGCGUAUUCUAGAGCUUGCCACUCAGAAUGCAUUCAAGGCGUGUUAUUUGGCAUAGAAAUCUCAACUAAGUACUAAUAAAGAUGACGUAAGUAAUACUACGUUGAGACGGUGAAGUUCCUCUAGGAACGAUAGUGCCAUUGAAGAAGAAGAAGAUGAACAGUGGAUCUCGCUAAGGCAAACUUUCAUUCUUCGUGAGGAAAUCGACUGAAAAACAUCGUUGCUGGGCGAGCUGGACGGCGUGGGACCGAACGCCUUUCUCAAGGCAAUGGGGAUGGAGGAGUGAUAUUAUGGAUAAGUAAAGUUUUCCAAGGGCCUUUUUGAAGGUUAGAGAGAUGAACUGAAGCAGUAUAAAUGGAUUUCUGUCUGUCUGUCUGUCUGAUUCUUAUGGACUCGGAAACUAUUGAACCGGUCAACAUGAAAAUUGGUAUGUAGGGGUUUUUGGGGCCGGGGAAGUUUUUCGUGAUAGUUUGAGACCCCUCCCCCCUUUUAAGGAGGGCUUCCAGACAAAUUAAACACAAACAAACAGUUUCUGAAUUACUUGAGAAUUAUUCAAGCAAAUGAAACCAAAUUUGGCAUGUGGAGGUUUUAGGCUGCAAUAAAUGUUUCUAUGGUAGUUAGACUCUCCACCCCCCUCUCUUAGGGGGGUGGGGGGUGUGUGUCUACCAUACAAAUGAAACACAUAUUUCUGCGUUACACGAGAAUUAAUAAAGUAAACGAAACCAAAUGAAGCAUAUCGAAAUUUUAGGGUGCAAGAAAUGAUUCUAUGAUGGUUAGACUCUCCACCCCCCUCUCUGAGGGGGGCUGCCAUGCAAAUGAAACACAAAUUUCUGCAUUACUCGAGAAUUAAUCAAGCAAAUCAAACCAAAUUAGGCACAUUAAGGUUUUAGGGUGCAAUUAAUGUUUCUAGGGUAGUUAAACUCUCCACCUCCCUCUCUAAGGGAGGCUGCCAUACAAAUGAAACAAAUUUUUGCAUUAUUCGAGAAUUAUUCAUGCAGAUGAAAUCAAAUUAGGCAUAUGAAGGUUUUGGUGUGCUAUCAAUAUUUCUAUGGUGGUUAGACUCUCCACCCAACUCUCUAAGGGGGCAGCCCCCUUUACAAAUGAAACGCAAAUUUCUGCAUUACUCGAGAAUUAUUAAAGUAAAUGAAACCAAAUUUGGCAUGUGAAGAUUUUAGGGUGCAAUAAUUGUUUCUAUGGUGGUUAGACUAUCCACUACCCUCUCUAGGGGGGCGGUGGGUCUGCCAUACAAAUGAAACACAAAUUUCUGCAUUAGAGAAAGAGAAAAAAGGGAAAUUCGGAAAAUUUAACUCCCAGAUGUUCUACAAUUACAUAGUGACAAGUGUUGUUGGUCCAUUUGACGUUUGCGCUAGCGAAAGUGAUCUUUGUUCGAAACUGGAAAUCGAUUUUAAUGUGAUGAAACGCACUCCUAUAUCUUCUUCUAUCUAUACCAAAAAAGGAUCGUCGGAUGUGUUGAUAAGAGCAGAACUCGAGGAAGGAAUUGUCCGAUUUAGGGCUGUCUUUAUUUUAUCAGAUUUUCUGUAUAAAAUAUUUAUUCCAUGUAACGGAGAAACAUGUCAUUUGCAAGUGGUUGAAAAAUCUUGAACGAGAAUUGUGUCUGAAAAUAAUCUGAUAUUAUAAUGAUGAGUUUUGUUAGAAAAUAGUGUAAAAGGUGAAUUCAACGGGGUCGAAUAGAAGAUCAAUCAAUGAACAGUUCUGCUCAUAGUAAGAAAACGUGAAUGUUUGAAAGUAUUGAUAAAAAAAAAUUGGGCGGGACGAAGUUUGCCGGGUCAGGUAGUGAUUAAUAUAAACAAGGAGGGGAGAUAGUAGGCCGGAAAUAUUCACGCUAGGGUAUUGGUAAUGAAUCUCUGCUGAGGCAAAUAUUCAGCCUUUUUUCCAAGCAGUUCACAUUUUUUGUUUUCUGUCAUCAAUGCAUUGAACUGACGCUAUGGUGAAGCACGUGUUGAGAAUGUGCACCAAAAAUUAUUUGAGGAAUACCAAAUUAUUCAAUAAGUUAUAUUAAGAUAUUAAUUUAUUUGGGCUCGCGUUCCAGUCGCAAUACUGCUUUCAACUAGGAUUGCAUUUGCGCUAAUCUUGAUCAUAAUGAAGCAGUGCUACUCUUUUCGGAGUUGUUAAGAUUAACAGAUAGAGUUUAUUUCGUUUAUUUAGUCACCAAUAAAGUAAAUGUCGUUCUGAAAUUUUGUAUGUGAUUUGGUUUCGCUUGCCAGUAGCAAAACUUUCUCCACUAAGGAUGACAGCUGAGCUUACCUCGAGCAUGUAUUGUUCUGCGAGCACAAGAAUGAAUCUUCAAACAAUUAUCGCCAAAUGAUUCUACAAUAAAAAACCAUUUCAGGGCCACCAAACUGGUAGAAUAGUUAUUUCAAAAUUUUCGUAGCAUUAUAAAAUAAUAUCCGCAGUUAUAUUAAGCGACUUGAAUUAAACUACAGCGUAGUUCUACGUCAACAAUGCGGUCGUGUCUUGAACACAACCUCCUAUAUUUUUUUUGUAACACUGGUUAUGUAAUCAUUAAUUAUCAAUCAGUUAAUCGACCAAAACCUAUGUACUGGAAUGAGGCGAGACCUUCAUUAUUUAUUAUUUAUUUGCCAGAUAAUCAGUUAAUGUUUCAGGAAAGAUACCAUUAAAACGAAAAAAAAACA